ACACUUGAUGAGUCCCUUACUGAAUCUACGUUAUACGAGAUGGCAUCAUCUCUACAAAGGCUCUUUGCAACAAUAUUGGUAUUCUGUGAGCCAAGUAAUGUGCGUGGACUCUGGGAGAAGCACCUGGAGGCAAUGUCAGAAGACUAUCGCCGCAACAAUCCAUCCAAAGUUGUGGUUGAGCAAAUGGUUCUGAUAGAUAUCAGGAAUAUGCUACAAUCAAUGGGAAAGGACAUAGAGUCAUUCCCUCUUCCCGGUAUCAAUGAAGAAUAUGACACUGCUUCCGGCAUGCCAAGGGAGAUCUUCGAGGAAUCCACCAUUCAGCUCAAUGUUGAGGACACAAAUCUAUCAGACUCACUUAAUUCAGAUCAUAGGAAAGCCUACGAUGAAAUUAUGUAUGUUGUUGACAGUGAUGAGGGUGGCGUAUUCUUU
rnacentral:rRNA from 1 species